UCCCUUGUAACUUAGCUGGUAAAGAAUCUGCCUGCAAUGCAGGAGACCUGGGUUCAAUUCCUGGGUUGGGAA
rnacentral:tRNA from 1 species